UGCCGCGUGUGUGAUGAAGGCCUUAGGAUCGUAAAGCACUUUCGCCAGGGAUGAUAAUGACAGUACCUGGUAAAGAAACCCCGGCUAACUCCGUGCCAGCAGCCGCGGUAAUACGGAGGGGGUUAGCGUUGUUCGGAAUUACUGGGCGUAAAGCGCACGUAGGCGGAUUGGAAAGUUGGGGGUGAAAUCCCGGGGCUCAACCCUGGAACUGCCUCCAAAACUAUCAGUCUAGAGUUCGAGAGAGGUGAGUGGAAUUCCAAGUGUAGAGGUGAAAUUCGUAGAUAUUUGGAGGAACACCAGUGGCGAAGGCGGCUCACUGGCUCGAUACUGACGCUGAGGUGCGAAAGUGUGGGGAGCAAACAGGAUUAGAUACCCUGGUAGUCCACACCGUAAACGAUGAAUGCCAGUCGUCGGGCAGUAUACUGUUCGGUGACACACCUAACGGAUUAAGCAUUCCGCCUGGGGAGUACGGUCGCAAGAUUAAAACUCAAAGGAAUUGACGGA
rnacentral:rRNA from 1 species